rnacentral:rRNA from 1 species
UACGAAGGGUGCUAGCGUUGUUCGGAAUUACUGGGCGUAAAGCGCGCGCAGGCGGUUCUUCAAGCCAGAGGUGAAAGCCCAGAGCUCAACUCUGGAAUGGCCUUUGAGACUAGAGAACUAGGGUACGGGAGAGGUGAGUGGAAUUCCGAGUGUAGAGGUGAAAUUCGUAGAUAUUCGGAAGAACACCAGUGGCGAAGGCGACUCACUGGACACAUAUUGACGCUGAGGUGCGAAAGCGUGGGGAGCAAACAGG